AACUUUUAACAACGGAUCUCUUGGUUCUCGCAUCGAUGAAGAACGUAGCAAAGUGCGAUAACUAGUGUGAAUUGCAUAUUCAGUGAAUCAUCGAGUCUUUGAACGCAACUUGCGCUCAUUGGUAUUCCAAUGAGCACGCCUGUUU
rnacentral:rRNA from 1 species